UACAGAGGGUGCAAGCGUUGUUCGAAAUCAUUGGGCGUAAAGCGCAUGUAGGCGGCGCGACAAGUCUGAUGUGAAAUUCCUCGGCUCAACCGGGGAGGGUCAUUGGAUACUGUCGUGCUCGAGUGCCGGAGAGGGUGAUAGAAUUCCUGGUGUAGUGGUGAAAUACGUUGAUAUCAGGAGGAAUACCAGAGGCGAAGGCGGUCACCUGGACGGUCACUGACGCUGAGAUGCGAAGGUAUGGGUAGCAAACAGGAUUAGAUACCCGUGUAGU
rnacentral:rRNA from 1 species